rnacentral:misc_RNA from 1 species
UUUCCGUAGGUGAACCUGCAGAAGGAUCAUUCAUAAUAAAGUGUUUUAUGGCACUUUUUAAAAAUCCAUAUCCACCUUGUGUGCAAUGUUAGAUCUCGUCAAUCUUGGCGAGAUUUUUAUACAUCAACUCAUUCUUUAACUAAUUUGUCUGAAAAAUAUUAUGAAUACUUAAUUCAAAAUACAACUUUCAACAACGGAUCUCUUGGCUCUC